rnacentral:rRNA from 1 species
UGGGGAAUUUUGGACAAUGGGGGAAACCCUGAUCCAGCCAUCCCGCGUGUGCGAUGAAGGCCUUCGGGUUGUAAAGCACUUUUGGCAGGAAAGAAACGUCAUGGGUUAAUACCCCGUGAAACUGACGGUACCUGCAGAAUAAGCACCGGCUAACUACGUGCCAGCAGCCGCGGUAAUACGUAGGGUGCAAGCGUUAAUCGGAAUUACUGGGCGUAAAGCGUGCGCAGGCGGUUCGGAAAGAAAGAUGUGAAAUCCCAGAGCUCAACUUUGGAACUGCAUUUUUAACUACCGUGCUAGAGUGUGUCAGAGGGAGGUGGAAUUCCGCGUGUAGCAGUGACAUGCGUAGAUAUGCGGAGGAACACCGAUGGCGAAGGCAGCCUCCUGGGAUAACACUGACGCUCAUGCACGAAAGCGUGGGGAGCAAACAGG